rnacentral:misc_RNA from 1 species
AAGUCGUAACAAGGUCUCCGUAGGGGACCCUGCGGGGGGAUCAUUUCCGAAAAAACAAUUGAGUAGUUUGGGUCCGUAAGGAUUCGAAUGAAAGAUUAAAAAAGUUGGUUGUGCUCAAAUCUAAUUUUGGUAUGAUUUUGCUGCAGAGAGGGUGUUUUUCGCAAGAGAAGUGCUUUUUUUGUAGUGAAAGAGUACCAGAAUCAAAUAUAUAAACUGUCAUCAAGGUAUCUUUAACUGAAUCCAAGAAAUAUCAAAAAUUGAUACGACAA